ACUCAAAUGAAUUGACGGGAAAGAGCACAACCAGGGGAGCAUGUGGUUCAAUUCGAGACGAAGCGAAAGACCUUACCCAGAUUUGACAUGCAAUCGUACAUUGUUCUGGAAACAGGACGAAAUUCGCAAGGAUGAUUGCACAGGUGUUACAUAGCUGUCGUCAGCUCGUGCCGUGGGGUGUCUACUUAAGUGUAGAAACGAGCGCAACCCCUACUCCGUGUUCAUUAGUCACGGGGGACUGCCCCGCUUACAGCGGGGAGGAAGGAGGGGAUGACGUCAAGUCAGUACGAUCCUUAUAUCUGGGGCCACACACAUCCUACAAUGGGAAGUAACAAUGGGUUGCCAAGCCGUAAGGCGGAGCUAAUCCCAUCAAACCUUCCCUCAGUUCAGAUUGGGGUCUGCAAUUCGACCCCAUGAAGCCGGACUUGGUAGUAAUCGCGGAUCAGCAGGCCGCGGUGAAUACGUUCUCUCUUUUUGUACACACCGCCCGU
rnacentral:rRNA from 1 species